rnacentral:rRNA from 1 species
UACGUAGGUGGCAAGCGUUGUCCGGAUUUACUGGGCGUAAAGCGCGUGUAGGCGGCCUGCUAAGUCUGAUGUGAAAGCCCGGGGCUCACCCCCCGGAAGUGCAUUGGAAACUGGUAGGCUUGAGUCCCGGAGAGGAGGGUGGAAUUCCUGGUGUAGCGGUGAAAUGCGUAGAUAUCAGGAGGAACACCGGUGGCGAAGGCAGCCCCCUGGGCCAGCACUGACGCUCAUGCACGAAAGCGUGGGGAGCAAACAGG